CAUAAAAAAAAAUAACGUUAACCCAAAAUAAGGGAAAAUGGAUAAAAUAUUAAUUACCGCCAUCUGUCAUCGCUUUUGCGAAUUAACAUAGACGAUAGCAAUAUGAUCAACGACCUUGGAUCUUGCCUUUCAUAUCGACCAAGUGUUAGUAGUGCUAUCUCUGUGACAUAGAUGGCACUAGUUCCACACUAAUAUUAUUUUGUAAUAACACUUUCUGACAGUAGGGGUCUCACAGAUCGUAAUCUGGAACAAUCUAGAGAUUUCUUCGGAUCAGGAAGUGGAUCGUGCAAAAUAUUACCAAAUAUGGUGAUGUUUGGUGCUUCGAUCAGUAGUGGAAUCGAAAGAUAGGGGGUAUAAAUGUAGGAGUUUUGUAGAAACCGUCCUUUUUCGAAAUCGAUUUCUACAACAAGGAAGAUCAGACUGAAGAAGUGCUGUGUCUUAUAAUUUUAUUAAAAAGUUGUCGUGCAGGUCCAGUGAAAGACCUGAAUUAAUUAAUAUUUGUGUGUAUUUCGUCCCAGAUUCUGGGUUCUUUAUAUCUGGAGAAAAUUCUUUAUAUCUGGAGAAAAUUCUUUAUAUCAGGAGAAAAUUCUUUAUAUCAGGAGAAAAUUCCUUGUAUCAGCAGAAAGUUUAUCCAUGUCUACCCCAUUGUAGACAAUCAAUUGAUUUGUCGUUUUGCCCGUGAAGUCGAGCUGGAGCAUCGUGGUACGGCUUCAGAUGCUCAUGAUUUAUACGAGGUCACCGGAUGAAGGCAGAUCCUUACAGUCGUGCACCAGAUCCUCUGUUGUAGUGCUGGCACGCCGGAUAUCUGUCUCAGAAGUUAAGUAACAUAGUUUAUUAACUGUAUGUACUUAUAAGGGUAUUGACAAUCACCCUGCGAAGGUGAUAUGUUUGUUACAGAUUAGCUGUUUUUGCUGUAUUUAAUCCAAAUAUUUAUAGUUAAAUAUUGCCAUUCAUGUAUAUUUGGAAUUUUUGUUAUAUAUGUGUAAUUACCCACUUCCUUCCAGAUAAAGUUGUAUUAAAAUUAACGAAAAUAAGUGGGUAACUUGUAAUAAUUAUAUAUUUAAAGGUGCAUGAUUUGAUGAUCAGCUGAUCAUCGUCUGUAUGUAUAUUACUUGUGCCGUUCUUUGGAUUAAUUGGUAAUUUGAUUACAUGGGUUAAUUGUGUGUGUUAAAUUAAAUAUAUUUUGGUAAAUUUAUACUGUAUAGCUUUGUGUUAUUUGAAUUUAUUUAUACCCCACGAAGAGAAUCAUGGCGCCCUGGGAUUAUCUAAUAUAAAGUUUAUUUAAGAGUUUCUUGUCCUGCCCUGAGACUAGGUCCGGUGGUAGCCGAAAUUAAAGGUUACAAU